ensembl:rRNA 5S_rRNA 5S ribosomal RNA
GCCUAUGGCCAUACCACCCUGAAUGCGAUGUGCCAGAUCUUGUCUGAUCUCAGAAGCUAAGCAGGGUUGGGCCUGAUUAGUACUUGGAUGGGAGGUCUCAAGGCUGGGCAGCAGUGGCUC